CCUACGGGAGGCAGCAGUGGGGAAUAUUGGACGAUGGGCGAAAGCCUGAUCCAGCCAUGCCGCGUGUGUGAAGAAGGCCUUCGGGUUGUAAAGCACUUUCAGUGGGGAAGAAAGCCUUGGGGCUAAUACCCUCGAGGAAGGACAUCACCCACAGAAGAAGCACCGGCUAACUCCGUGCCAGCAGCCGCGGUAAUACGGAGGGUGCGAGCGUUAAUCGGAAUUACUGGGCGUAAAGCGCGCGUAGGCGGUCUGAUAAGCCGGUUGUGAAAGCCCCGGGCUCAACCUGGGAACGGCAUCCGGAACUGUCAGGCUAGAGUGCAGGAGAGGAAGGUAGAAUUCCCGGUGUAGCGGUGAAAUGCGUAGAGAUCGGGAGGAAUACCAGUGGCGAAGGCGGCCUUCUGGACUGACACUGACGCUGAGGUGCGAAAGCGUGGGUAGCAAACAGGAUUAGAUACCCUAGUAGUC
rnacentral:rRNA from 1 species